AUGAGGCCAGAGGUUUCCGCUGGGCGCCUUUCCCGAAGCUUUCCUCACUUUCCAAUGCCAACAGGACACAUAGAGGUGAAAGAAGGGUUCAAAACCCACCAAGAAAGGAUCCCCAGCAUGGGCAGCUCUGGGAGAAUCGUGCUUCUUCCUGCCUCUCCACCCCUGCAUAUGCAGAUGAAAAUCCAGAUGUUCUCCUGCGACUGCCCUCAAUUCUUGAUCCAUUAAGAAUGGAGAUGAUCUACAGCAUCUUCCUCAUGUGCCGGCCCCCAAAGUUAAGCAGCCAUCCGAGGCCUUCCUUCACCUGAUUCUCAGCCAGCUUUUCAUGUCAUGCCCAAAGGCACAUAUAUGCUCUUGGUGCAGCAGAAUGACUUGAGGCUAAGUAGGAAGAGUGGGUCCCUCUCUGCAGAGCUGAGAUAUUCUACAGCAUUUCAGGAAACCUCUUCUGAGUAAACAAAAUCUGAUUUCAAGAGUUUGUGCCACCAGGACUUCUUGAAGGGCAAAGAUUCCAUUAAUUAAUGAUUUAUUAAGCAUCUACUUUGUGCAAGGCACAAGGUGACGACCAGGGGGUUGAGGUUCUUCCCACUCCUACAAGAGCAGUAAUGGUGGUGGCACUGACCUUAGUCAUAACAGGAACGACCUGGGAUCAAAGAAUUAGAAUUGGAAGACUUUUGGAGACCACUGGGUUGAGCCCUCUCCUUUGGAAAAGGAUGAACACUGAGGAUCAGAGAAGUUAAAGGACUUCUUCAGGCUCCCUCAGCUAAUAAUAGAGCUGAUGUGGGAGAUGAAGUCCAGUCCUUCCUUCCUUGUGCACUAUACUAUGCUGAUUAGCAGCCAGAACCCUUGACCAGUUGGACCAUGGAGAUGGCCUAGUAAAGGAAAUAAGGACAGCCACCAUGAAUAUCUCAGCUCUUGGGUAAAGUGAUGAUAGCGUCUGUCCAGACUCUACUUCAUGGGCUUACUAAUUGUUCUUUCAAACACACCCAUUGACACAGAACCUCAGAAGUUUGGAGUGACCAGCAAGUCCAACCUAUACUUGAGGAUAUUCCUGUUAUAACUGUCAUGGCAGUUGUCCAGCCUCUUCUUGAAGGUUUCUGCUACGAUGGAAGCAUGUCCCCAAUGGUCCGUCCCAGUUUUGUUCAACUCUGCUUGUUGGGGAGAUUUGGGUGCUCACUUGGUUUAGACUGAUACCAAGUCUAGAUGUCCUCCUUUACAACUUCCACCCAUU
rnacentral:lncRNA from 1 species